rnacentral:ncRNA from 1 species
CCUUUCGAGUGUUGUAUCAAACCAAAGUAGCUAAUGCGAAAUGGAACACGAUGAAGAAGGAA